UCUGGCUGCAAUAUCUGUCACCCCAUUGAUCACCAGGGUUAAUUUGGCUGAGCUGGCUUUCUUCCUUGAUGUCUCCU
rnacentral:sRNA from 14 species